UACGUAGGGUGCGAGCGUUGUCCGGAAUUAUUGGGCGUAAAGAGCUUGUAGGCGGUUUGUCGCGUCUGCCGUGAAAGCCCAGGGCUUAACCCUGGGUCUGCGGUGGGUACGGGCAGACUAGAGUGUGGUAGGGGAGACUGGAAUUCCUGGUGUAGCGGUGAAAUGCGCAGAUAUCAGGAGGAACACCGGUGGCGAAGGCGGCUAUCUGGACCGUAACUGACGCUGAGGCGCGAAAAGCGUGGGGAGCAAACAGG
rnacentral:rRNA from 1 species